UGAACGCUGGCGGUAUGCCUAACACAUGCAAGUCGCACGAGGGUUUUUAACUCUAGUGGCGGACGGGUGAGUAACACGUGAGAAUUUGCCUUUAGGAGGGGGAUAACAAUCGGAAACGAAUGCUAAUACCCCAUAUGCUUUCGAGUGAAACGGAUUUAUCCGCCUAAAGAGAAGCUCGCGGCUGAUUAGCUUGUUGGUAAGGUAAGAGCUUACCAAGGCGACGAUCAGUAUCUGGUUUGAGAGGACGAUCAGACACACUGGAACUGAGACACGGUCCAGACUCCUACGGGAGGCAGCAGUGGGGAAUUUUCCGCAAUGGGCGAAAGCCUGACGGAGCAAUACCGCGUGAGGGAAGACUGCCUAUGGGGUUGUAAACCUCUUUUUUCAGGGAGGAAUAAAAUGACGUGUACCUGAAGAAUAAGCAUCGGCUAACUCCGUGCCAGCAG
rnacentral:rRNA from 1 species